rnacentral:rRNA from 1 species
AACGAACGCUGGCGGCAUGCCUAACACAUGCAAGUCGAACGAGACCUUCGGGUCUAGUGGCGCACGGGUGCGUAACGCGUGGGAACCUGCCCUUAGGCUCGGAAUAACUCCCCGACAGGGGUGCUAAUACCGGAUAAUGUCCUCGGACCAAACAUUUAUCGCCUUUGGAUGGGCCCGCGUUGGAUUAGCUAGUUGGUAGGGUAAAAGCCUACCAAGGCGACGCUCCAUAGCUGGUCUGAGAGGAUGAUCAGCCACACUGGGACUGAGACACGGCCCAGACUCCUACGGGAGGCAGCAGUGGGGAAUAUUGGACAAUGGGCGAAAGCCUGAUCCAGCAAUGCCGCGUGAGUGAUGAAGGCCUUAGGGUUGUAAAGCUCUUUUACCCGGGAUGAUAAUGACAGUACCGGGAGAAUAAGCUCCGGCUAACUCCGUG